rnacentral:rRNA from 1 species
UACUGCCGGCGACCGGCAAACGGGUGCGGAACACGUACGCAACUUUCCUUUAAGUGGAGCAUAGCUCUCGGAAACGGGAAUUAAUACUCCGUAACAUUAUGAAGUGGCAUCAUUUUAUAAUUAUAGAUUAAUCGCUUAAAGAUGGGCGUGCGGCUGAUUAGGUAGUUGGUGCGGGUAACGGCCCACCAAGCCUUCGAUCAGUAACUGGUGUGAGAGCACGACCAGUCACACGGGCACUGAGACACGGGCCCGACUCCUACGGGAGGCAGCAGUAAGGAAUAUUGGUCAAUGGACGCAAGUCUGAACCAGCCAUGCCGCGUGAAGGAUGACGGCCCUCUGGGUUGUAAACUUCUUUUAUCUGGGACGAAAAACGGUCAUUCCUGAUCACUUGACGGUACCAGAGGAAUAAGCACCGGCUAACUCCGUGCCAGCAGCCGCGGUAAUACGGAGGGUGCAAGCGUUAUCCGGAUUUACUGGGUUUAAAGGGUGCGUAGGUGGGUAGGUAAGUCAGUGGUGAAAUCUUCAAGCUUAACUUGGAAACUGCCAUUGAUACUAUUUAUCUUGAAUACUCUGGAGGUAAGCGGAAUAUGUCAUGUAGCGGUGAAAUGCUUAGAUAUGACAUAGAACACCAAUUGCGAA